rnacentral:rRNA from 1 species
CCUACGGGUGGCAGCAGUGAGGAAUAUUGGUCCAUGGUCGGGAGCCUGAACCAGCCAAGUCGCGUGAAGGAUGACUGUCCUACGGGUUGUAAACUUCUUUUAUAAAGGAAUAAAGUGAGGCACGUGUGCCUUUUUGUGUGUACUUUAUGAAUAAGGAUCGGCUAACUCCGUGCCAGCCGCCGCGGUAAUACGGAGGAUCCGAGCGUUAUCCGGAUUUAUUGGGUUUAAAGGGUGCGUAGAUGGGUUGUUAAGUCAGUUGUGAAAGUUUGGGGCUCAACCCGAAAAUUGCAGUUGAUACUGGCAGUCUUGAGUACAGUUGAGGUAGGCGGAAUUCGUGGUGUAGCGGUGAAAUGCUUAGAUAUCACGAAGAACUCCGAUUGCGAAGGCAGCUUACUAAACUGCCACUGACAUUGAUGCUCGAAAGUGUGGGUAUCAAACAGGAUUAGAUACCCCUGUAGUC